rnacentral:lncRNA from 1 species
CUCUUUUUUCCGUCUGGCCAUGGGCGUGUAGACAAGUCCGUUGUCUUCCGGUCGCGAGCAUGUGCAAGUCAAAUGGACUUGAUUCGGCCUCAGCUGUCGAGUACAGAAGUUACUAUUCAAUGAGCAUAGGGCUGCAACAAUACCUCGCCAGCGGACCCGGUUUUGGGCAGCCCCCUUCAGUUGGGCCCAGGUGGUUCCGAUGUCCUUGCAAGCAAAGAGUACGUUGCAGUAAUCAAGUCUGGAUAAAACAAACGCAUAGACAAGAGUAUUGGCGCUCGUAGACAGAAUGUGACGGAUGGUGCUGAUCUUGCGUAGUUCAUAUAAUAGGCAGACUGACAGACAGCUGUCAAUUAUUUAUCAUAAUAGACUGACAGACAGCUGCCACUUAUGUUUAGCAAGUCAUGUCUGCAGUGACAAUGAAUCCCAGAUUCCUGAUGGAGGACGCAAAGGUGAUGUUGGUUUCGCCCAUCUUGAUGUGACUUAAAAUUGGUGGACAAAUGAGUGAAGAUGGAUUGCUUCUCGAACAUAGGAGGGCUUCGGUUGUAAUCAUCGUUGAGUUUAAGUUUGUAUGACACCAUCCAGUCUUUGACUUUAUUAAUACAGACUUCUAUGGUGCUGGCAGCAGAGUGAGACUCAGCCGGUGGAGGGGGGGCAGUACAGCUGCGUAUCAUCAGCAUAUGAUUGAUGAGAAAACGUUGUGAGACUGGAUGCAAGAUUAAAGUGGUUUCAUAUACAGAAUAAACAGAACUGGGCCGAGUACGUACUGAGGAAUUUCAGGUCGUUCUUCUGUCAGAUGACAUUCAUAGAUCAAGAUGCAGUGAGACUGAUUUACUCACUGGACUAGAGCAGCAUAGAACAAUAAUCAAACACGAAGAUCACAUCGUCAGGAGAACAUCCAGAUGAUCACAAAGUUUGAAAUUGCAGUACAUUGUCGAAACGCAUGACUGUUCGGCACUGAUGUAAAGUAUAUUCCCUGCACGACUUGUAAAAAUGAAUAAAAUCGUGAUGGCGUUAGCUAGAGAGAGUUGAUUAAUAUAGUUUAAUAACUUCAUGCUCAUGUCCACUAUAUAACAUGCGCUACGGGGAGCUGAAAACGAGAAUCAACACAGAUGAAAUGUUGACAUCGCUGACAUUAACGUACUUUUACUGCCCCUUCAUUUCACAUGGCACACUAGAAGUAAGAUAGAUAGUUGGGUGGGGGAUGUUAAGGACAUAUCUGAUCAACAGGCUGCACGUACAUCCCGGCGCAGCGCAAUGCUUCAUUACACGUAUAUCUGUUUCGCUUCACUGCAUAUCAGCCACUGACUGGAAUAAACCUGACUCGAAUGUAGCAAGCGAUAUAGUCAAUUUUUAAAGUAAAACCCCAGGGGAAAAAAAAAAAACACCAGAAAUGGAUGGUGGUUCGAUCAGGCGUGUAACAACUUAUAUAUAUAUUUAGAACAGAUUAUUCAUAUAAAUAUAACUUGAAGAAACGAUCACUCUGUGUCACUGAAACUCUAUAUAUCACCAUUUCCAAAAUGGUCGAUCGUAUAUUUGGUUCGAGCAUAAUCGAGUGUUCUAGUUUAUGAAACCGGCUGACAAUGGCGCCAGUACACGUAUUCGUGGUCGGUCAUAUCGCCCCACCGCCUAAGUCAACUCGUCCCAGCCAUGACCUCGAAAGCGAAUCGUCCCACCCCAUCAUCCCACCCACCGCAAAAAAAAACAAAAAAAAAACAACAAAAAACAAAACAAAAUUGUCUAGGCGAGGUGAUAAAUAUCUUCUUGCCACUUAAGGCUGGCUGUCAAUAUAAUCUACACUUUAAAUGGCAGUCUUUAUUUAUUCUUUAGUUUGAGGUUCGACUGAAUAUGCCGGAUGUUGCUGCCCAGGUAUUCGAUCCUGGAGGGGAGAAAGAGGGUACGGUGCAACUUGUGCAAGGGUUAUGCAGGAGUACGCAGCGACAUAAAUAAGCACACACCAUUAUGAAAAUAAGUACUUUUACGUGCAAGGGGUACCCGCGGAUAUACUUUCACCCUAUAUCUCCGUAGUACAGGCGACAGACAACGCAUGUCUUUUUGCAGCAGACAAUUAUAUAGACACCAAGAUUGAGUGAGCGUCGCAUGUAGAAAUACUACUUUCAGUGGUAAAAUGUCUUUUUCGAGUACUUACCAGAUGACAUGAGUAUAUGUGGAGAUCACCCUCUAGCUACCUCAAACCCAACUGUCCAAACCUGUUCUGGUCAAAGGACCACAGAACAUACGUAGGACAUAAAUACGGUUCAGCCCCUCUCCCCUCCAUACCUGUAAUGCUAGUGAGCACAACUCCAGCUUUUCGCUUUGACUGAGUCUGGAACCCACUGCGGGGAGGUGGGAGCUAACUGUCAUGUCAUCUGGUAAGUACUCGAAGAAAGAAAUUCUACCACUAAAAAUGGUAUUUCUUCUUCGUAUUGUACCAGAUGACAUAUGACUAUUGGAGACUAAAUAACAUUUUGAGGGAGUGGUAUCCCACCCUGGCAGCAAACCUAUAAAUGUUAAGAUGGUUGGGAGAAAACCUUUACAAACCAAGACACGAUCGAGUUUACUUUCUCCGUUCAAGAGGAUUACUGUAAGCGACGAAGAUUUAUUUACUGUACCAAAAAGGUCCUUUGUGAGCCCAUAAAUUAAAGAAGAUAAGAAAGAAGAAAAAAAAAAAACCCCUCCUGAAGGCAGUGAACCAUAUACAAUCGACGUUGUGGGGGACGUGGGGUGCAUGAGACUAUAAUUUUUUACCAAUGUAAGCAUGCCAUGAAUUUAUAUAUAUAUUUAAAAAAAAAUUAUUUUACUCGGGUAUUGCGUAUAAGUGAAUGAUUUUUGUGAUUUUAUGAUAAUAAUCUCGAGUAUUCUACACGUCACCCUGUAAACAGCUUACACCGUGUCCAAGCACUCAGAUGAUUGUGUCCUACAUCGCAUUGGAGGCAUCUCAUAUUACAUCAACAAAAUAUCUAGCACCACGUCGGCGUUUAUCUCGCUACGAUUCAUUGCAUCUACUUGUUACUUACAGACAGAUCUACAUUUCCCGUGAAAGUGUCUCUGUACAUGGAUACGUUUACAGAAAGCUGAGACCGUAAUAAACGAGGUCAUGGACUUGACACAAACCCUGGGAGAGAGAAGAUAUAAAACUUUAUUUUUACAGUAUUUAUUUGUAGUGCAACCAACGAUCAUUUGAGUUGGUUACUAAAGAUCUCAAAUCUCGUUUUAACAUCCCCCUCCCCAAUUCUGAAUGUUGGAAUAAAUUUACAUUACCUGGGCCAGGUAGGAGUGAGCGUGGUCCCUAAUUCUGACAUUUACUGUCUACUUGUAGCCUUUUGCUUGGCUUCAAAGCCCACCAUUUAUUGGUUGAAUGGACUUCUCACUACUGGUCUCAGUAACGCAGAUUUGUUCCCUAAAAAUAUUUUUCAUAAUUUUGUGUUUUUGGCAGAUGUGAGAUACAGGGUGGGAGAGCAGGAAAGGUGAAUUUCAUGCUGUAAAAAUGGAAAGCGAAUGGAUCUCACUGAUGCCAGGAUUCCAGACUGGUCAACAAUGUGGAAAUAAACUACACACUGGUUUACGAGAAAACUAUUAUUUUAUAAAACAUGCUUCAGACUGUUUACAGAAGGGGGAAAAGUCACUUAAUAUAACAACGUUUAUUUAUUUAUUUUUACAAUAGUAUUUACAGACAAACAUGGAUAUACACAAUGACUAAGCACUACAAUUUGCUGAUGUGAAUAUCUCACUGGACAUCCAAAAAUGUUUUAUACGUUUUGAGUGCAUGCAUGUCUAUAUGCACAUAUAAACUUGAUUGUUAUGGUCUGUGUACAAGUAUGUGAACCCCAUUUCUUUCUUUUAAAGUGGAAAGGUGGGGUCUUCUCUUUCCUCCCAUCCAAAUUUAUUAGAUGUCUAGGCCAAACCCAUCAACACACAUCAGCAGCCGUGCAAGAUAAAUAUGGUCAUAAACUACCUAAUGACCAUAAGAUGACACUGUCUUAAGGCGAUUCAGUGGUUUACUUAAUGUCCUCUUACUUGUUAUUUUCCACAGCUUUUAUUUAUGGCACUUAGAAACGGGAGCUGACCUUGGAAGGAAGUGAUGUCCCCAAUAAACUAUGAUAAAACAACAACAGUAUAUAUAUAGAGGUAUAUUUAGUCAGUGUCAGUUGUCAUAUUUUCUCAGACGUCUGGUGACAAUGCAGAAAGUUAAACAUGUACAAAUCACAGAUACUAACAUGAGUGUUUGAUCACUAAGCCAUGUAAAGACACAAUGGUUAUGUUUGUGUCUUCUGCAACCUUUUACUUCAUUUCUGUAAACUGAUUGCCUGACAACAGCUUGACAUGACAACGAAUUUUUGGCUUAAGCAAAACUAAUGAAAUAAUUAAGCUUAUUACCCUCUUAAAUCAUUUCAGAAAUGAGGGUGGUGAGUAAACUUGAGAAUAUAAAAACAACCCAAAAUUUUUAUGGUGGACGUCUACAACGCAAGGCACUGUGUGCACCCAAUAGGCAACAGAUUUAAUUAAUGUACUGUUUAAACAGGUGCUAUAUCUCAUGGUGUGUAUGUGGGGAGGGGCAUAUGUGUGUGCAUGUACACAUCCAUCUUUUUAUUUUUUUUUUUUCUUUGAGUGGAUACCAUCUUUCCAAGAGUACUGCUAAUAUGCAAAUAGCUCUUGUGAAAAGACAAACAAAAAUUA